GAUCCUGGCUCAGAUUGAACGCUGGCGGGAUGCUUACACAUGCAAGUCGAACGGUAGAGGGGGCAACCCUUGAGAGUGGCGAACGGGUGAGUAAUAUAUCGGAACGUGCCCAGUCGUGGGGGAUAACGUAGCGAAAGUUACGCUAAUACCGCAUACGAUCUACGGAUGAAAGCGGGGGACUCGCAAGAGCCUCGCGCGAUUGGAGCGGCCGAUAUCAGAUUAGGUAGUUGGUGAGGUAAAGGCUCACCAAGCCGACGAUCUGUAGCUGGUCUGAGAGGACGACCAGCCACACUGGGACUGAGACACGGCCCAGACUCCUACGGGAGGCAGCAGUGGGAAUUUUGGACAAUGGGCGCAAGCCUGAUCCAGCAAUGCCGCGUGCAGGAUGAAGGCCUUCGGGUUGUAAACUGCUUUGUACGGAACGAAACGGUGAGCUCUAAUACAGUUUGCUAAUGACGGUACCGUAAGAAUAAGCACCGGCUAACUACGUG
rnacentral:rRNA from 1 species